rnacentral:rRNA from 1 species
CCUACGGGUGGCAGCAGUGGGGAAUAUUGGACAAUGGGCGAAAGCCUGAUCCAGCCAUGCCGCGUGUGUGAAGAAGGCCUUCGGGUUGUAAAGCACUUUCAGUGGGGAAGAAAGCCUUGGGGCUAAUACCCUCGAGGAAGGACAUCACCCACAGAAGAAGCACCGGCUAACUCCGUGCCAGCAGCCGCGGUAAUACGGAGGGUGCGAGCGUUAAUCGGAAUUACUGGGCGUAAAGCGCGCGUAGGCGGUCUGAUGAGCCGGUUGUGAAAGCCCCGGGCUCAACCUGGGAACGGCAUCCGGAACUGCAGGGCUAGGGUGAAGGAGGGAAAGUUAGAAUUCCCGGGGUGGGGGGAAAAGGGUAGGAGUUGGGGAGGAAUCCAGUGGCGAAGGCGGCCUUCUGGACUGACACUGACGCUGAGGUGCGAAAGCGUGGGUAGCAAACAGGAUUAGAUACCCUGGUAGUC